rnacentral:rRNA from 1 species
GGAAUCUUCCACAAUGGACGCAAGUCUGAUGGAGCAACGCCGCGUGAGUGAAGAAGGGUUUCGGCUCGUAAAGCUCUGUUGUUAAAGAAGAACGUGGGUAAGAGUAACUGUUUACCCAGUGACGGUAUUUAACCAGAAAGCCACGGCUAACUACGUGUCAG